GAUACGGUUUAUAAAGUAAAGAGAAGAGAGUUCCCAAACUCUCAAGUUUGGUUCUGCUUUUUAAAGUGGAAACAGACAGCAGUGUCCCGUUCGUCUAGAGGCCUAGGACACCGCCCUUUCACGGCGGUAACAGGGGUUCGACUCCCCUACGGGAUACCAUCUUUAAGCGCAUUCGAUGAGUGCUUUUAAAAAUGGUUACUUCAUUAGAAGUGAUUAGCUCU
rnacentral:tRNA from 1 species